CGGUAGAAGCUCGGAUGAGGACUUUCCUUUGGUGAAGUCCGAUAGGAGUCUGAUUGCUAGAGAAGUCCAUCUAGGAUUCGCCUGAUGUGGAAGCUCGUUUGAAGAUGAUCCACCGGAGAAGUUCAGUUUCAUGAAGGAUCUGGUGGAGCGUCGGUCGGUGAUGGACUUCGGAUGGUGCUGGGGAGGUUCGGCAGACGUCGG
rnacentral:lncRNA from 1 species